ensembl:lncRNA
ACGGUGCAGAAUUGGUGCAAACGGGCGCUGUGUCUGCAGGGGGCCAUGGAGGAGCAGCGCCAGGAGGGUCCGGGCGGAGGGGACCACCAAGAUGGCGCCCGUGGUGGCCACCAAGUGGUCAUCCUUAGGGACAAGCAAGAUGGCGGCCAUGGGGACAAACAAGAUGGCGGCCACCAAGAUGGCGGUCACAGGGACAACCAAGAUGGCGGCCACCAAGAUGGCGGCCACUGGGACAAACAAGAUGGCGGCCAUCAAGAUGGUGGUCAUAGGGACAACCAAGAUGGCGGCCACCAAGAUGGCGGCCACUGGGACAACCAAGAUGGCGGCCACGGUGGUCACCGAGGUGUCGGUCGUGGGGACAAACAAGAUGGUGGCCACCAAGAUGGCGGCCACAGGGACAAUCAAGAUGGCAGCCACAGUGGUGGCUACCAAGAUGGCGGCCGUAGGGACAACCAAGAUGGUGGCCGUGGCCACAGUGUUACCCAUGGUGGCCACCAAGACGGCACCCACGGGGACAACCAAAACGGCGGCCAUGUUGGCCACCACAACAUCACCCGUGGCCGCGAUGUCACCCACGGUGGCCACCAAGAGGACAUCUAUGGUGGCCACCAAGAUGGCGGCCACCAGGAGGACCACGGCGUCACCCAUGGCCACGAUGUCACCCAUGGGAGCUCCCGGAAGGACUACCACGGCGGCCGCCAAGAUGGCCACCACGAUGGCCACCAGGAUGCUGGCCAUAGUGACAACCAAGAUGGCGGCCACGGCCACGAUGUCACCCAUGGGUGCCACCAGGAGGAAACCUAUGGGGUGCCACCGCCCUACAAGAAGCCACGGCGCUGCCACCGCUGUCCCACCGCCGUGUCACCCGGUGUCACCGCCACCAGCUCCCGCUGCAGGUCCUCCAGUGUCACCCCAACCAUUGGUGUCACCUCCACCGGUGUCACCCCAACCAAUGUCACCUCCGUCGGUGUCACCCCAACCAUCGGUGUCACCUCUACUGGUGUCACCCCAACCGUCGGUGUCACCUCCAUUGGUGUCACCCCAACCAACAUCACCUCCAUUGGUGUCACCCCAACCAUCGGUGUCACCUCCACUGGUGUCACCCCAACCAUUGGUGUCACCUCCAUUGGUGUCACCCCAACCGAUGUCAUCUCCACCGGUGUCACCCCAACCGAUGUCACCUCCAUUGGUGUCACCCCAACCAUCAGUGUCACCUCCACCAACGUCACCUCCACCAUCAGUGUCACCUCCACCGGUGUCACCUCCACCGGUGUCACCCCAACCAUCGGUGUCACCUCCACCGGUGUCACCUCCACCAGGUCCAGAGGUUCCACCGUCACCACGUCCAUCUCCGAUGCCACCGGAGCAGCUGUGGCCGUCACCUCCAGAACACCCAAAGCUGUCACCGUCACCCGGUCCCGAGGUGCCACCACCACCACCACCACCACCCGUUCCCGAGGUGUCACCGUCACCCGUUCCCGAGGUGCCACCACCACCAGGGCUGCGUCCAAAGCCACCGGAGACGCCACCACCAUGAUGGACACCUCUGAAACGGUGACAACCACCGGAGGUACCGCGGUUGUGGUGGACACCUCCAAAAGCACCGUCGGAGCUGUGGUGGCCACCAGAGGUGCCACCACCAGAAGUGCCACCACCAGAGGUGCCGCCACCAGAGGUGCCACCACUGGUGUUGCCGUCGGCCUGGUGACAACCAGCAGAGGUACAACCAGCAAGGGUACAACCAGCAGAGGUACCGCCGGAGACGUCGCCAAAGGUAUCACCACCCAACCAUUGGUCACCACCAGAUCUACAACCACCAGAUCUACAGCCACCAGAUCUACAGCCACCAGAGCUGCCACCACCAGAGGUACAACCACCAGAGGUGCAACCACCAGAGCUACAACCGUGAGGGACAUCAGGCAGGUGACAACCACCAGAGCUACAACCGGCGGUGCCACCGGAGAUGUCAACGGAGGUACCAUCGGACGUAGUGUUGGAGGUACCAUCGGAGGAACCAUCGGAGGAACCAUCGGAGGAACCAUCAGAGGAACCAUUGGAGAAACCAUCGGAGGAACCAUCAGAGGAACCAUCGGAGGAACCAUCGGAAACACCACGGGUGAUGACACCGGAGGUACAAUCGGACGUAGCGUUGGAGACACCAUCGGAGGAACCGGUGGAGAUACCACCGGAGGAACCAUCGGACGUACCCUCGGAGACACCAUCAGAAGAACCACCGGAGACACCGUUAGAGGAACCAUCAGCCGUACCACUGGAGCUCCCACUGGAUGUACCGUGGGAAGUACCACCGGAAGAACCACCGGAGGAACCACCGGAGCCUCACCUGACAGCACAACCGGACCAUCGGAGGAACCGGUGGAGAUACCACCGGAGGAACCAUCGGACGUACCCUCGGAGACACCAUCAGAAGAACCACCGGAGACACCGUUAGAGGAACCAUCAGCCGUACCACUGGAGCUCCCACUGGAUGUACCGUGGGAAGUACCACCGGAAGAACCACCGGAGGAACCACCGGAGCCUCACCUGACAGCACAACCGGAGUCGAUACCACCGGAGAGUCAACUGGAGAUGAUGCCACCACCACCAACGGGGAGAGGCCGUACCUCUGUUCCGAAUGCGGCAAAAGCUUCGGCCGCUCGUCGUCCUUGGCUUGCCACCAGCGCAUCCACGCUCACCGCAAACCCUACGGCUGCGGCGUCUGCGGCAAAGCCUUCACCCAACUCUCCUCUUUCCAAAGCCACCAACGCGUCCACACCGGCGAGAGGCCGUUUUUGUGCCCCCAAUGCGGGAGGAUGUUCUCGGAUCCUUCCAGCUACCGGCGGCACCAGCGAGCGCAUCAGGGAGUCAAGCCGUACGGAUGCAGCGAAUGCGGCAAAGCUUUCAGGCAGCCGGCGGAUUUGGCUCUGCAUCGCCGCAGCCACACCGGGGAAAGGCCCUGGAGGUGCGGGGAGUGCGGCAAGGCUUACAAAGCCUCGUGGGAUCUGAAAAGGCACCGCCUGAGUCACAGCGGGGAGAGGCCGUGGAGAUGCGGGGAAUGCGGGAAGGGGUUCGGGGAGAGGGCGGCGUUGGGGAAGCAUUGGAGGACGCAUUCCGGAGAACGGCCCUAUAGCUGCGGGAGGUGUGGGAAGGGGUUCGGGGGAGCAUCCGGGCUCAGGAAGCACGAGAGGACGCACGGGAAGGGGGAGGAGGGGGGCAAGAUGGCGGACGA